GAAAUUUUGCAGGGUUGUUGAAAUCAAAUUUAGGGACUUUACUGACGGGACUCUGGGCUGGCUGCUCUGUUCACUCGUCAGCGCAAGUGGCGUGACCAUGUAAUUGGGGCACGGGGCCGGCGCGGCGCGCUGCGGGCUUGCAGAAUUUUGUUUGUUUGUUUGGCCGCGCGCUGGCGCAGCCACGGGCCGCAGUUACUGGGGCGCGCUGUCGUAACAAGCCGCGCGGUGUGGCCUGCACAUUGGGGUAGAGGGGGGGUAGUCUUCCCAGAUGUUCUAGUUAGUUGUUUAGUAAAUUUGACUUCAAUAACGAGCUUUUGUUAUGGUAGGCGCGGCAGGGCGCGCGAAUUUAAGCGCAAGUGAUUGGUGACUCGGGGCUCACUCAGGCGGAGGCUAUGCGUCUCACCUGUGGUCACGAGUUGUUAGUUCGUUCGUGAUGUAGGAAUUCAGGCUCACUCAGGCGGAGGCUAUGCGUCUCACCUGUGGUCACGAGUUGUUAGUUCGUUCGUGAUGUAGGAAUUCAAGCUUUCGGGCGGAAGCUAUGGCCGACGCCAGAGGCCACGAGUCGUUUAAUUUAAGUUAGGUCAUAAUGUAGUCAUCUUCAAGCUUUCGGGCGGAGGCUAUGGCCCUCGUCAGGGGUCACGCGUCAUAGUUUUUAAAAUGUAAUGUUCGUUCGGGAUUUCAAGGGCAGGAGAGGCCCCUACGUUAUUUUUUUAAAGUAAUCGAUCAAGAAAGGCUUUUCGGAAAAUGUGAGUAUGGACUUAUCUUUGUUUUAAUUUUAAGUAUUAAUUAUGAUUUGAGGUAUUCGGAAGGACUAGGGAAGUGUUUAGUGAAGUUCUCUCAUUCUCUCUCUUGUAAGGUCGUUCAAUCGUUAAGGAAGUAAAGAGAUUAUUGUUUUAAAUUGUAAUCCCGCUAUUUAAAUGUUCUUUAAAAUGAUGUUGAGUAUUUGACUUUAAGAAUAAAAUAAUUUUAAUUAAGUAUUAUGUUAUUUUGCAAAAUCUCCUUAGUUCAGCUCUCACCAGACAUCCUGUACGGGAUGACGAACCUAUGAUCCUAGGUACAGUAAAGUAUUUUAUGAAGUUAAGACUAGUUGAUGCCAAGCGAGUUGUUUCUAUGUAAAGAGCUACGAUUCUCGCCCCCCCCCCCUCUGAAGGUGAAUCGUGACAGAAAUGGUGGUGGCACCGGCUAGGUGCCACGUGACAGAAGUGGUGGAGGCGCCGGGUAGGUUCUAUUUCUGGAGAGAGAGAGAGGUAGAUUUUUAUGUUUAUUAUUAAGUUAGUUUCAGCUUCUGAUAGCAGGUUAUUAAGAGUUUACUUGAGGAGAGGAUUACGGAAUUUUAGUCUAUAGUGGAGGAAGUCUUUGAGAUUUUUUUUUGACGUAACAGAUGUUUAUUUGAGGAUACUUGUAAGGAUAAAGUUUAUAGUGAUAAGUUGUUUUAAGUCGUUGAAUUUAUUGUAGAUUUAUAUCGGGGAUUAUUACGUGAGGAGAAUACGUUAUAAGUUAAAUGCUUAUUAGAGAUAAUGCAAGUGGUUUAAUUUAAUUGAAGUUCAUUUUAAGAUUGUAGGUUAAGAGAAUUAUAAUUUAAAAUAAAGUUUUUUGUCGUAAAUAGGAAUUAUUUUCAAGAGAAGUUUGUUUUGUUUUCGUGCGCGUAGGAGACGAGACGUACGAAUUAAAUCAGUCGAGGGAAGGAUAAACGUUAGAAAGGAAUUAAAGAGAAAACGAGAGUUUAUGUAAAAGAGAGUUAUAGAAUUUAUAGUGAUGUUUUGUUUUAAUUAGAAAAAUGUUGAGAGUUGUUUCAGAACGACACGUCAGUGGACGUGGCAGAGUGAACACGUGACGGGGAGGUGCUGAGACCUAGCGGAGAACGGAGGAACCGCAAGCGAGGGUUGGCGCACCUGAUGGAAUUCGGUGACGUCACGGGCUCAUACGGAGACGUGGACAGGCCGUGACCUUGUUUUGAUCAGCUGUACGGUAACUUAGCGAUAAGAAAAUAGACUAUUGGUUAAAUAAAUUUAAAUUUAAGUGUGUUUUAGGAGAAGAGGAACUUUCAGUAUAUUCCUUAAGAUGAGCUGAGCAGCAGUCCAGUUUACAAGAUGACAAGAGUUCGAGAGACAAGAUACAAGAUCACUGAAACAAGAGCCAAGACUGAAGAUUCAAGAGAAGAGAAAGCUGGCAGCCAUGGACUUACAAGUGGAGAUUAAUAAGGUCAUGUAAAGUUUUAUUUUUUUUAUGGAAGACAGUAACUGGAGUUUUUUUUUGUUAUAAACAUUAUUUACAGAACUUUUUAGGUUAUAGUAAUGUAAUGGAACUAGUGAGUUGUGGUAGCUGUCAAAAAGAACUAAUACAUUAAGUUUAAUUUUUAAAGUUAAUUUUCUUAAUUUACAGAGGGAUUAGUAGUUUUUUUUUAAACCUUAUUUAGGUUGGAAUUUAAAUACAAUAGCUUAUUAUAAAUGUGUACGAACAGUUCAAGUUCACAGUACUGAUAGGUAGGUCAGAUGAUCUUAUUGAUUUUGAUGAUUUGUUGUUUUGAGUUGAUUUUUAAGUGUUGUGAAUUAGACAAUGAAAUAGUUCUGAAAACUUAAAUUAUUUCAAGCUAAGAAAUAGUAAAUUUAAUUGUAACUCGAAGGACACCAGAAUUUACUUUUUUUUGAAUUAGUAAUGUUUGAAAAUUUUAUACUUUACAAGAAAGGUUAUAAACAAACAGAUUGGAUGGAACAAGGAUGCAGUAAAUCACAAUUUCAUUUAGAAUUAUUGAUUAGCUUUUGAGGUUAUGAAGUAAAAGUAAUUAUAGUUUAAAAGUUUGAAUAAAAAAAAAUGUUUUUUUUUAUUUGUUUGAAAUAGAAAGUUUAAAAGUUAAUUAGUCAUGAUCUAGGUGGGUGAUGGGGUGGGAAUUGGCCACUCUUUUUCCCUAUAACCUCCCUAACAUGGCCUUCUAUUACAACUAACAGAAAUAAAGAAGAAGAAAAAUGAAGAAUUAUUAGUUAGAAUGUUUCUUUCAUGAAGAUACCUGAUGAACUUUUACUGUUUGGAAGAAUAGAAGCAAGGUUAGUCAGAUAUUUUUACUCAGAAGAAGAAGAAGAUAAAGCAGUUUUAUGACUCGACAAGCCAGAGAUUGGUGUUUCCCCUCUGCGCUUCUAUUGACUACGUUGUUUACUCUCAUGGGAUAGCUGGUUCGGCACCAUGGAGAGAGAUUGGUGGGCAUUGUGGUUGCCCCCAGAAGAAAAGAAGAGUAGAAGAGGUUAUGGGUGGGUCAUGUGAACUGACCUUCAACCCAGUUACUUCGUGGGGACUAUUUGCUGUAUAGAGAAGAUCAAGACUCAAGAGUUAGGGAAAAUCAUUGGAGGUCAUGUUUCCCUUCCUUAAGUUUUUCCUAUCAAAUUAUUUGCCUGAUUAGAUUAUGCUAAGGGUGGGAUACUUUAUGUUAGCAGUUGAAUUAAUUAAUUUUAUUUUUUUGUGUGUUUGCAUCCUUGCCCAUCGAUUGCAGUUUAGUAGUUAGUUUUGUAUUUGUCAGGCGUGAUGGUAAUGCCUGUUGAUGAUGUUUCAGAAUUGUAAUCUGUUCGUGAUGAGGAUGGCACAACUCCGAAGCAGAUGUGGGGAGAAGUUGUGAGCUGCCCUGGAAGCCAGUCCAGUAGCUGUUGGAGUUGAGUGGUGUUUGCUGAUGGCCAGCCCAGGGAGCUACUCUUCUCGACAACACUGACUUCGAGGAGUUGCACCAACCUUCACGAGAUAAGAGUUUAAUUAAUUGAAACACUGUAAGGACACUUAAUUUUUUUUGAAGAAUAAAGGAGUAUGGUAAUAAACGGAAACCGAAAAAAAAAAAA